GACGAACGCUGGCGGCGUGCUUAACACAUGCAAGUCGAACGGAAAGGCCCUGCUUUUGUGGGUUGCUCGAGUGGCGAACGGGUGAGUAACACGUGAGUAACCUGCCCUUGACUUUGGGAUAACUUCAGGAAACUGGGGCUAAUACCGGAUAGGAGCUCCUGCUGCAUGGUGGGGGUUGGAAAGUUUCGGCGGUUGGGGAUGGACUCGCGGCUUAUCAGCUUGUUGGUGGGGUAGUGGCUUACCAAGGCUUUGACGGGUAGCCGGCCUGAGAGGGUGACCGGCCACAUUGGGACUGAGAUACGGCCCAGACUCCUACGGGAGGCAGCAGUGGGGAAUAUUGCACAAUGGGCGGAAGCCUGAUGCAGCAACGCCGCGUGCGGGAUGACGGCCUUCGGGUUGUAAACCGCUUUCGCCUGUGACGAAGCGUGAGUGGCGGUAAUGGGUAAAGAAGCACCGGCUAACUACGUG
rnacentral:rRNA from 1 species